CAGCCGCCGCGGUAAUACGAAGGGGGCUAGCGUUGUUCGGAAUUACUGGGCGUAAAGCGCACGUAGGCGGACAUUUAAGUCAGGGGUGAAAUCCCGGGGCUCAACCCCGGAACUGCCUUUGAUACUGGGUGUCUAGAGUAUGGAAGAGGUGAGUGGAAUUCCGAGUGUAGAGGUGAAAUUCGUAGAUAUUCGGAGGAACACCAGUGGCGAAGGCGGCUCACUGGUCCAUUACUGACGCUGAGGUGCGAAAGCGUGGGGAGCAAACAGGAUUAGAUACCCCCGUAGUCCCUGUCUCUUAUAC
rnacentral:rRNA from 1 species